AGCUGCUGUGGAGUUACUGUUUAUGGUGUCUUUGCCUUUCAGCAUGUCUUCAGAGGCAGAUUGCGGAGCUUCAGUCGCAACACAAGGCAGCACGUGAUGCCAAUAAGGAAAACCAGAAGGAGAUUGGUGAGUGUUGCUGGCUCCCUGGGGC